GUACAACUCUCGACCUCUCACAAAAUAAAACAACGAGAGGUAGACCACCUAUCGAAUCGUCCUCAAAGGAAGCUAGCUCGAAGCAACUCCCUUCCUGCGGUCCCUAGCCUCUCCCGGCGUGGAAGGCUCUGAAAACAUCAAGAAAACGAGGGCGUGAGAACUAUAAUUUAUAGUUCCCAGUGGGCAAUUACUGACCUCAGCUCUAUGCACCACUAGGCCCCGAAAGAAAAGGGUAAGUACCAUAAGCAAUAAUAGAUCAUCAAUCCUCGGUAAUGGAUAAUUAUUCUUAAUCGUGACUUUAUUAAGUUUACGAUAGUCCACGCAUAAGCGAAGUGAUCCAUCAUUCUUCUUCACAAAUAGGACCGGUGCUCCCCAAGGUGACACACUCGGUCGCACAAAACCCUUGUCCAGAAGAUCCUGUAACUGUGCCUUCAACUCCUUCAAUUCUGCUGGUGCCAUCCUAUAGGGUGCCUUUAAGAUCGGGGUAGUCCCGGGAACGAGAUCUACCACAAACUCAAUCUCUCUAUCAGGUGGCAUGCCUGGAAGCUCCGCUGGGAACACAUCUCCAAACUCCCGCACUACGGAAAUAUCCUCAAUCCUAGGGGCAUCAUCAUCACCCCUCAACACAACAGUAGCCAAAUAGGCCACACAGCCUCUACUAAUCAACUGCCUAGCUCGAGAGGAGCUAAUCGUCAUCGCAAAAAGCGAACUCUGGCAUCCUCGGUACAAAACCUCCGCCUGCCCCGGCUCUCUAAACGUCACCGUUCGAUUCUUGCAAUCAAUGGUAGCAAAGUACUUGGUCAACCAAUCCAUGCCCAACACAACAUCAAACUCCCGAGUUUAUGCAAAGCUAGCAAGUCCACGGGCAUGAUCCAAUCUCUAACCCGAACAGGACAACUGGGGCAAAACUCCCGAAUGUCCAAAAAAUGAUCGGGUACAACAACUCGUCUCGGAUGCAAAAAGGGUACAAGUGGGAUGCCAUACAACUCGGCAAACAGCCGGUCUAUGAAUGAAUGCGAUGCACCGGUAUCAAACAAAGCUCUAACUCGAAUAUCAUAAAGUAAAAUGAUACCUGCGACCACAUUCUCGGCUGCCGCCGCCUCCUCAGUCUGGGCCGCGUACAUGCGCCCGCUCGGGGCCUGUCGUGACCCCUCCGCCUGUCGCAGAACUGGCGGCCGUCCUGCCUGGUGAUGCGCAGAAGAUGUCCCCUGGCUGGGACCUGGCGAUGCUGGUGCAGAUGCCGCAGAUGGCGCUGGCAAUGGACUCCUCGGGCAGUCCGACUGGAAGUGGCCCUCCUGGCCACACAAGAAGCACCUGCCCCGGCUGCGUGAACACUGCCGCGGGUAAUGAGGACCGCCACAGAUCACGCAGCGGGGGGCCUGGCGACGAUCGGGUCCUCCUCGCUGGGUAGACUGGCCGCGUCCUCGCGACUGGCUCCUGCUCCUGGGAUGCCUCGGCGGCCUCCGUGAGUGCGUCUGACUCGCACCCUCAGCCGCGGGCCUCUUGCCCUUCCCUUUCUCCAAGCUCUCGCGACGCUCCUGCAGAUCCGCCGCUCCUGCCUCCACUAUCAAAGCUCGAUCCACAACCUCCCGGUAGGUCUGGAGGUUGGAAGACUGCACCAACCGGAAGAUAGAAGGCCGCAAACCGCGCUCAAAGAUGCGGGCCUUGUCCUCGUCGUCCCUCACAACAAACGGUACACAGUGUAGUAUCCGGGAGAACUCCCUCUCGUACUCAGCCACUGACCGCUCAUCCUGGCGCAAGCUGCGCAAAUCCUGCUCCAUCUUCCUCUUGACGCUGGUAGGAAAGUGGUGCGCCAGAAGAAGCUCCUUGAACCUAGUCCAAGUAAUCGCUGCCAAGUCGGUGUUGGGGUUGUCCUGGAUAUCCAACCACCAACGGUAGGCCUCGCCGUCCAGAAAGUGAGUGGCGAGCCAAACUCUAUCCCGCUCCUCCACAAAGGUGUCUCGAAACAGCUUCUCCAUGUGCAGUAACCACUUCUCAACAAUCCAGUGGUCGACGUUCUCGCCAUCAAACGUCCUCGGGCUGCACCUCCUGAACUCGCUGAGGCGCUCCAUAAGCCGAUCCCGCUCGGCUCCCUCAGCCAUCACGGGGAAAGCUGCUCCUGUCGCCGGUCUCUGAACAGGUAGUGCCGCAGCCACCUCCUCCCGAGGUGCGGUCGCCGGUGCCGCACGUGAAGAACUGGGCGCGGGGGACUGCGCCCUCGGUGCGACGUCCACCACGGGUGCUGGCGGUGUGGGACCCUGGGUCUCCCUCGAAGCUGCCGCCUGCUGAAGUAGGAGGUUCUCAAGAUGCUUCAUCCGCGCCUCUUGCCGCUGAGCCACCUCAGCCUAUCGCUGCGCCGCUGCCGUCUGCUGCGCCAACAAAUCAGUGAGGACCGCAAGCUGGGUCCUCAAGUCACGGACCUCACUAGAUCCGGAAGUAGCGGAGGUCUCGACCUCCUCGGGGUGUGCCGCAUCAUCCGUCCCGGCAGACUGGGAGUGUGUAAUCGGCAUCGUCACUACAAAAUAUAAAAGCGUAAGUUAGUAACCCACGCUAUUGCAUCCCCGCUCAAAUAGAUAAAACCCAAAUCAUGCGAAAGUAGGAGAGUAUCCUUCACUACUAACUCCCGAUGUUACGUUGUCGGCCGCCAACGUAACCCUCUGCGGAGUUAGAAGCCAUAUACUCCGGUCAAACUCUAACUUUUUAGAGUUGUCAUAAAACCCAAUCAUAAUACUAUCGCUCACAAGUCAAUUAGACCUCGUCUCUCACGAGCCUAAUUCUCAUUGUCCAACCGGCCUAAGGUUUGCUAGGUCCACUAAGACUCAACCCUAGGCUCUGAUACCAAAUUAAUCUGUCACGCCCCGGACCGGCGGAGGCCCUCCCGGUAGCGUGCCCAGACUCGCCAUAUGUCUACACAUAUAAGGCGUCUACAAUAACAAUGGAAAUAAGGCAAGAGAUAUAAUAAAAGGAAAGGAAUACAACUGAUGAUAUUAGAGCAGUAUGAUUCUACCAACUAUAAAGAGAGUACAAAGAUCACAACUAAACCAAACAGUAAAAGUAAGACAUAAAGUAGUACAAUAUCUGUCUCUAGUACAAAAAUGGUGGUCUCUAUACAUAUGCGGGUACAACUCUCGACCUCUCACAAAAUAAAACAACGAGAGGUAGACCACCUAUCGAAUCGUCCUCGAAGGAAGCUAGCUCGAAGCAACUCCCUUCCCGCGGUCCCUAGCCUCUCCCGGCGUGGAAGGCUCUGAAAACAUCAAGAAAACGAGGGCGUGAGAACUAUAAUUUAUAGUUCCCAGUGGGCAAUUACUGACCUCAGCUUUAUGCACCACUAGGCCCCGAAAGAAAAGGGUAAGUACCAUAAGCAAUAAUAAUAAAGAUAACUGCAAUAAGAAAGCAUAAUGGAAUGCUAAGCUACUAUAUCUUAAGUAAACAUGAUGUAAGUAUGAUGUACAUCUACUCUAUCAU
rnacentral:lncRNA from 1 species